UUUCUGUUGGAGUUUUUUUGUCAUUCAUUUUGCAUUUUUUGUGUUGUUGGUGGUGCGAAUUUUUUAGUUGUUGAGGGUGUGGUGAGGAUGUAUUUAUGGUGGCGAUAGUAAAUGGAGUGGUGGUGAGGGGGUUUGGAUUUGAUAGUGGUGGUGAUGUAUGGCAGUUGGUUAAUUGGAUAAUGGUGGUGGUUAAUUAGUGUUCAGAGAGGUUGAUGAUGGUGUGGUUAAGAUAACAACAAAUUUGAAUUUUUUUUAAGUUUUUUUGUAAAAAGAAAAGAAAAAAUAAGUUGAAAGAGGUUGAAGCGGGAAACGAAGUUAACAGGGACGAAAUGGUUGAAGCAGGAAGCAAACAUGGCCGGUUGAAGAGGUUAGUAGAAUGAGUUAUAAGAU
rnacentral:lncRNA from 1 species